rnacentral:rRNA from 1 species
GUUCGUAGGUGACCUGCGGAGGAUCAUUACUGAAGAAAUGGUAGCAGUUGAGCUGACUCUUAGGAGUAUGUGCUCGCUCUAUCGCUUUUUCUACUCUCCACUGUGCACCUAUUGUAGGCUAUGAUAACUUUCAAAAGUCUCUUACGAGUCGAUUGGACAGAAGGCUAUGCAUUCAUUUGCUUGCUUUCGACUUUGUAGCCUAUGUUUAUACAAACUCUUGAUAGUCUUAUGAAUGUGUAUUGUUGGUCUUUGACCGAUAAACCAUAUACAACUUUCAGCAACGGAUCUCUUGGCUCUCGCAUCGAUGAAGAACGCAGCGAAAUGCGAUAAGUAAUGUGAAUUGCAGAAUUCAGUGAAUCAUCGAAUCUUUGAACGCACCUUGCACUCCUUGGUAUUCCGAGGAGUAUGCCUGUUUGAGUGUCAUUAAAUUCUCAAAAACCUAACUGUUUGUUUGGAUGGAUAGGCUUUUUGGAUGUGAGGGCUUGCUGGCUUUCUACUAAGUCGGCUCUCUUUAAAUGCAUUAGUGGUUGCUUCAUUCACUAGAGUGUGAUAGUAUAUCUACGCUCGCUGCAGUGAACUGAUAAAUCAUCCGCUUCUAACUGUCUUGCUUUCAAGACAAUUCUUUGACUAUUUGACCUCAAAUCAGGUAGGACUACCCGCUGAACUUAAGCAUAUCAAUAAGCGGAGGA